UUAGGCUGCCACUGAAUUGAGCGGGCUUGGCUAAAAUAUAAUUUGUAGACACCAGGCACCAGGGUCUUCGCCCACAACUUCAAUGCUGUCAGUGUACGGAAUUAUAAGCAUGCAGUUGAUUAUGUUAUAAUAUAUUUCGUAUGUGACAACAGCCUCAUGGAAAUCAUAUAUAUACUAGUUAUAAUAACCACAUGCAUGUAGAUUCUAUUUUUAUUCAUUAGAGACCAUGUACCCCGUCCUUUGCCAGGACUGUUGUCAGCAUUUCACUAGGGGAAACAGCAGCAUGAAGCAUAAUUCAAGAUGCACUUGUUUCGGAGCCUUAGCUUUUAUAUACUUGGCAUUCAGAAUUUCUGAACUAAUUUUUCUGAAAAAUUAUAUUGCUGCCACUUAUAUUGCUCCAACAGGAGCUUUACAUAUACUUCUUGCACUUCUACUGCAGCCUCAGCGGUGUUAAUGAGGUCAGAAUUACAACACCGUGUGAACAAUAUAUGUAAAUUUAGAGAUGGCCAUUUAAUUCCUAGUUGGGCUGUUACAUAGACUGUCACUAGGUAUAGUGGUGCCGCAUGCUCCACCAUGAACGCUGUUAUGUCCAGCCAGUGGGGGCAGCAACCUUCGAACCUCUCCUGCUUUCCUGAGACGACUCAGCUUUGUGAAGCUCACAAUAAGUUGCAUCGGACAGCCCAGUGGCGACACCAAGUUGCUGCUAGUUGCCAAAGCCGAUGGACAGAUGAACCAGCUAAUAGCUGGGCCAUCCCAGGAGCCAAGACAUGCCAAUGGAGUCAAGCGUGGCACCCCUGCCGACGAGCGUCCUCUUCUUUUUCUAGGGCAGUGAGCCGUGUGCACCCGGUGUGAUUUCUCUGAUUGUGUACUGUGAACAAAGGCGCCGGAUUAGUUGCACAUAGCCUCGUCCUCAAAGUGGAACCUUUGGUGACCACGAAUGCUCCAAAUGGAGAAUGGUGUGACUGCAGAUUUUCCUGCCCUAGUUGAUCUAGGGGAGACAAAGGGGAUUUAAGAACACUUUUUCAGCUCCUCAAGUGUGCCCUGGCCUGCUUUGACCUGAUAGCUCAUGCUACAAGAACAAUGUACUGCGCUCCAUGCUCCGGCCAGUGGUACACAAGAGCGAGAUGUGGCCAAAGCAAAGUGAAAGCCAUUUCUUUUGAAAGGGAGUUGCUAAUGGAGGGAUAUGGGGCCCAUUUGGAGAAGUACCCACUCUCAUCCAAACCAAACCAAGUCCAGGAUGGAAAUUUGCCAGACCUCUUGGCCUUUGGGCCACUGAUUGCAUGGCAGCUUUAUGACAAUAGGUGAGCUCGACUUCAUUGUGGUACUGCAGAGAGAUUGCAGUUCCCCUCUUGUGCUAGUUUAUCUUUCAAAUCAAAUUACAAGGUUUAACUGUAGCGAAACAUCACACGUGUCAUGAGGAACGCCAUAGUGAGGGCUCCCAGAAUCAUUUUUGAUUCCCUGGAGUUCCACCUAAAUCUACUUACAUGAACACUCUUGCAUUCCAACCCCAUCGCAAUGCUGCCAUCAGUGCUGGAAAUUUUAACCUGUUACCUCAUGCAGAGCAAAAUGCUAUAGCCACUACAGCAGGUUGCUCAUUUAAUUUUGCGUGGAAAUAAAACAAACAUGGCAUCUCCUUGCCCCUCUCACCUGAACUCGUCAUGGACCUGACUGAUUACGCCAAAGUUUGGGGACAUAUGUAGCAGAAAUUACUGUUUGUGGUUGAAAUAGAAGCUCACCUUCGAGACUGGCCAAAGGCACAUUGGCCUUAUACUAUAAAGGGGGGCAGAAUGCACACACAAACAAACUUUACGGAAGAGACAAAAGAAGCAAAAGGCGUUGCUUGCUUAACAUGGCCAAAGGCAGC